UGGGACUAAAGGUGCCUUGGUGCAGUUAU
rnacentral:piRNA from 1 species